rnacentral:rRNA from 1 species
CAAACGACUCUCGGCAACGGAUAUCUCGGCUCAUGCAUCGAUGAAGAACGUAGCAAAAUGCGAUACUUGGUGUGAAUUGCAGAAUCCCGUGAACCAUCGAGUUUUUGAACGCAAGUUGCGCCCGAAGCCUUUUGGCCAAGGGCACGUCUGCCUGGGCGUCACAC